CCUACGGGUGGCUGCAGUGGGGAAUAUUGGACAAUGGGGGGAACCCUGAUCCAGCCAUGCCGCGUGUGUGAAGAAGGACCUCGGGUUGUAAAGCACUUUCAGUGAGGAAGAACGCCUGGUGGUUAAUACCCAUCAGGAAAGACAUCACUCACAGAAGAAGCACCGGCUAACUCCGUGCCAGCAGCCGCGGUAAUACGGAGGGUGCGAGCGUUAAUCGGAAUUACUGGGCGUAAAGCGCGCGUAGGUGGCUUGAUAAGCCGGUUGUGAAAGCCCCGGGCUCAACCUGGGAACGGCAUCCGGAACUGUCAAGCUAGAGUGCAGGAGAGGAAGGUAGAAUUCCCGGUGUAGCGGUGAAAUGCGUAGAGAUCGGGAGGAAUACCAGUGGCGAAGGCGGCCUUCUGGACUGACACUGACACUGAGGUGCGAAAGCGUGGGUAGCAAACAGGAUUAGAUACCCUUGUAGUC
rnacentral:rRNA from 1 species